UACGAAGGGGACUAGCGUUGUUCGGAAUUACUGGGCGUAAAGCGCACGUAGGCGGGAUGGCAAGUCGGUCGUGAAAUCCCUCGGCUCAACUGAGGAUCGUCGAUCGAUACUGCCGUUCUUGAGGAUUGCAGAGGAGACUGGAAUUCCCGGUGUAGCGGUGAAAUGUGUAGAGAUCGGGAGGAACACCGGUGGCGAAGGCGGGUCUCUGGGCAAUUCCUGACGCUGAGGCGCGAAAGCGUGGGGAGCAACGGG
rnacentral:rRNA from 1 species